rnacentral:lncRNA from 1 species
AAGUACAACAAAGUCUAUUUUGUUGGUUCAAAAAUUCCUUUCCCUCUGUGUAGGCAAUAUCUAACUGAUGUGAUUACAGCACUUGCUUUGGCUAAUGCUGCGUUCACACUCGUAUUCGUGUGAAUGCAGCAUUUAUCUUUGCAGUCCACACUGCAAACAAAUCUUUGGGGUCCUAGUACUUCCGCGUCUCUAGUUAUGGAGAAAAUCAAAAUAGUACCUAUAUUAUGUAUCUAGAGGGGCAUGAAGACGAUUUUGACAACUAUUUACUCAGGCGACCAUCACACGAGUAAAAAUCUCUUUCCACCGAUGAUGCUCACGAUACUUUUUAUCCUAAUUUUUUUGAAAACAGCUUUUCAAAGCAUGUUGGAACGGAGAUAUGGUGACCGGUGCACAUGAAGCUUCAUAAAAUAUCAGAAAGUAGCAGAAAUAUCAGCGGAUGAAAAGGCAAUGAAAAAAUCUUGAAUAAUUAAUAUCGUAGGAAAAACAGUUUUGAAUUAGUUCUUCAUUUUGUUGUGUACAAGCCAAAUCUGUGAAAAAAAAGUACAUGUUUUCACUUAAAAAAGCAAUAAUUACCUCCAAAUGACCUUGUAAACGUCCACCGAAUAAUAAGUACGAUAUCACAGUAUAUUGUCCCCUUCGAACCAUGAAUCUUUCAAUUCAAACAUUUUUCUCUCAAAUGCGUUGUUGAAAGAUAUUCUGCUAUGUCAACUUAGAUAGAACACUCUGUAUAUGCCUAUAGUUUUUUGAAAUGCCAAGUACGAAUUUUAGAAAAUAAUAUUAUUUUUGCAAUUAAAAUGUAUACCUCAUACAACAUUUGGAGGGUGACCUGUCAACAUGAUGAAAGAAGAUAAGGUGUGUUCUCACGCAGCCAUCUCUGAAAACCAAUCGCGUCCUAUGCCAAUGAAGACCAUCGUUGAACUUCAACCAAUCACAUUCGAGAUCAUUUAGCGCACAUUUUAAAGUGUGGAAAUCUACACAUGGUUCCUGAUGAGUGAAAAAUCUAUACCACGUUGCAGUACCGGCGAUUUAUGAUUUUCUCAGUCAUGGAGUUCAUUGUAGAGGAGGAAGAGUUGUUUCUUUAUCUCAUCGCAAUUACAUGUUCAUGAUGGAGUCAGCACCGAUUUCUGUUGCUAUUUUUGCAUGAACAUGAAGGAUCGCUGCAUGAAUCAAUCUAUAUAGCAGUAUUUUUAAUCUCAGGUAUGGAAAUUCUAUUCCCAACGUAUAUCAAGCAUGGAUUGCAUUGAUCAUACCAAAGUCGUCGGCGGUACUUCGUUACUCAGCCAAAAUAUUAAAAAUAAAUGCAUGUAUUAUAUCACAUCCACUGUGUCAUCUGCUACGCAAAUUAAAAAGAUUCUCUUCAAUCGUUUACUGGUUUUCUAGUAUAUGGCAUACUACUAGAUCGGUUGAUAACUGAAUUCCCGGCAAACCCAAGGAGCACUCAAUUUUAAAUCAAAGCACCUAAUUAGCACCUGAAAAGUAUAUCAUUUUCAUAUGCGUCAUA